UACGUAGGGUGUAAGCGUUGUCCGGAAUUAUUGGGCGUAAAGAGCUCGUAGGCGGUCUGUCGCGUCUGCUGUGAAAACUCGGGGCUUAACCCCGGGCCUGCAGUGGGUACGGGCAGACUAGAGUGCGGUAGGGGAGACUGGAAUUCCUGGUGUAGCGGUGAAAUGCGCAGAUAUCAGGAGGAACACCGGUGGCGAAGGCGGGUCUCUGGGCCGUAACUGACGCUGAGGAGCGAAAGCAUGGGGAGCGAACAGG
rnacentral:rRNA from 1 species